AGCAUUUUUCAGCAAGAAGGAAUAUCCAAUGAAGAUUGAAGACAGCAUCCCCGGUGAUACGUAUGGCAGAAGGGUUGCUUUGCCUUCAAUCACUGAAGCCCAGGGCAUGGAAGAGUUUCGACUUUGUAGUUCUCCCCUUCUAGACAGCAGGGGGCGCCUUUGCUCUGUCAAAAAAUGCAACCAGAAGAUUUGAAAGAAAUCAAAUGAACCUUUAUCCAAACGUAGAUUAUAAAAAUAUGUGUACGUUCUAAUCUUAAAUAAAACAUAUCUGGCAUGCAGAGUGAAAAGA